GAUGAACGCUGGCGGCGUGCCUAAUACAUGCAAGUCGAGCGAACAGACGAGGAGCUUGCUCCUCUGACGUUAGCGGCGGACGGGUGAGUAACACGUGGAUAACCUACCUAUAAGACUGGGAUAACUUCGGGAAACCGGGGCUAAUACCGGAUAAUAUAUUGAACCGCAUGGUUCAAUAGUGAAAGACGGUUUUGCUGUCACUUAUAGAUGGAUCCGCGCCGUAUUAGCUAGUUGGUAAGGUAACGGCUUACCAAGGCAACGAUGCGUAGCCGACCUGAGAGGGUGAUCGGCCACACUGGAACUGAGACACGGUCCAGACUCCUACGGGAGGCAGCAGUAGGGAAUCUUCCGCAAUGGGCGAAAGCCUGACGGAGCAACGCCGCGUGAGUGAUGAAGGUCUUCGGAUCGUAAAACUCUGUUAUUAGGGAAGAACAAAUGUGUAAGUAACUAUGCACGUCUUGACGGUACCUAAUCAGAAAGCCACGGCUAACUACGUG
rnacentral:rRNA from 1 species